rnacentral:rRNA from 1 species
UACUACCGAAGCUACGGCAUCAGUAAUGAUGGGUAGGGGAGCUUCCCAUACGGGUUGAAGCAUGACCGUAAGGACAUGUGGACAGGAUGGGAGUGAGAAUGUUGGCAUGAGUAGCGAGAUGUGGGUGAGAAUCCCACAGGCCGUAAACCCCAGGUUUCCAGGGGAAGGUUCGUCCGCCCUGGGUUAGUCGGGACCUAAGCUGAGGCCGACAGGCGUAGGUGAUGGACAACAGGUGGAUAUUCCUGUACUACCGAUAACCGUUUGAGGGAAGGGAUGACCAAGUAGGAGAAGCAGAGCA